rnacentral:rRNA from 1 species
UACGAAGGGGGCUAGCGUUGUUCGGAAUCACUGGGCGUAAAGGGCGCGUAGGCGGCUUUGUAAGUCGGGGGUGAAAGCCUGUGGCUCAACCACAGAAUUGCCUUCGAUACUGCAUGGCUUGAGACCGGAAGAGGUUAGUGGAACUGCGAGUGUAGAGGUGAAAUUCGUAGAUAUUCGCAAGAACACCAGUGGCGAAGGCGGCUGACUGGUCCGGUUCUGACGCUGAGGCGGCGAAAAGCGUGGGGAGCAAACAGG